rnacentral:misc_RNA from 1 species
GAUGAAGAACGUAGUGAAAUGCGAUAAGUAGUGUGAAUUGCAGAAUUCAGGGAAUCAUCGAAUCUUUGAACGCACAUUGCGCCCCUUGGUAUUCCAUGGGGCAUGCCUGUUCGAGCGUCAUUUGUACCCUCAAGCUAAGCUUGGUGUUGGGUGUUUGUCCACUCCCUCGUGUUUGGACUCGCCUUAAAACAAUUGGCAGCCAGUGUUUUGGUAUUGAAGCGCAGCACAAUUUGCGAUUCUAGCCUAGAAUACUAGCAUCCAUCAAGUCAUUUUUAACGCUUGACCUCGGAUCAGGUAGGGAUACCCGCUGAACUUAAGCAUAUCAAUAAGCGGAGGA